AGAACGAACGCUGGCGGCAUGCCUAACACAUGCAAGUCGAACGAGACCUUCGGGUCUAGUGGCGCACGGGUGCGUAACGCGUGGGAAUCUGCCCUUCGGUUCGGAAUAACUCAGGGAAACUUGAGCUAAUACCGGAUAAUGACUUCGGUCCAAAGAUUCAUCGCCGAGGGAUGAGCCCGCGUAGGAUUAGCUUGUUGGUGAGGUAAAGGCUCACCAAGGCGACGAUCCUUAGCUGGUCUGAGAGGAUGAUCAGCCACACUGGGACUGAGACACGGCCCAGACUCCUACGGGAGCAGCAGUGGGGAAUAUUGGACAA
rnacentral:rRNA from 1 species